rnacentral:rRNA from 1 species
GAUGAACGCUGGCGGCGUGCCUAAUACAUGCAAGUCGAGCGAACAGACGAGGAGCUUGCUCCUCUGACGUUAGCGGCGGACGGGUGAGUAACACGUGGAUAACCUACCUAUAAGACUGGGAUAACUUCGGGAAACCGGAGCUAAUACCGGAUAAUAUAUUGAACCGCAUGGUUCAAUAGUGAAAGACGGUUUUGCUGUCACUUAUAGAUGGAUCCGCGCCGCAUUAGCUUGUUGGUAAGGUAACGGCUUACCAAGGCAACGAUGCGUAGCCUACCUGAGAGGGUGGGCGGACACACGGGGGAUGAGACGCGGGAGAGACGCCUAGGAGAGGCAGCAGUGGGGAAUAGUGCACAAUGGGCGGAAGCGUAAUGCAGGGACGCCGCGGGAGAGAUGGAGGCCUGCGGCGUGUGAACCUCUUACGACAGUGAAGAAGGUCCGGCUCUUUGUGGUGGGGUUGACGGUAGCUGGGGUAAUGAAGCGCCGGCUAACUACGUG